rnacentral:rRNA from 1 species
UUAGUCUUUUAAUUUAGGACUGGAAUGAAUGGCUAGACCAAGUAAAUCUGUCUUAAAAAGAUACUCUGAAUUUUAUAUUUUAGUGAAAAAGCUAAAAUUUUUCUUACAGACAAGAAGACCCUAUCAAGCUUCACAAAAGAAACUACUUCUCUUAAAGUAGAAAUACUUUGUUAAACUGGGGCAGUUAAUAAAAUAAUUUUAUUUAAAAAUUGAGAUAAUUCAUCUAGCCGUACCAAGAAAUUCUUAACUAAAAAUAAGUUACUGUAGGGAUAACAGCGUAAUUUUUAUAGAGAGUUCACAUCAACAUAAAAGUUUGCGACCUCGAUGUUGGAUUAAAAUACCUAAUUCGCGCAAUAGCCAAAAAAGGAAGUCUGUUCGACUUUUAAAAUUUUCCA